GUGCUUUCUUCAGUAGUGUUUGUACAGCAUUUGGAAUGAUGCUGAGAUGAGUAACAUGGUCUCUGUGCAAGGGUGACAUGCGAAUUUAUGCAGCAUCCCAUUAAAUA
rnacentral:snRNA from 1 species